rnacentral:sRNA from 2 species
AGAGCGGGCCUUUCAGGCAUCCUCUCCCAAAGACUUUCCAAGCCGGCCCUUGUGGCCGGCUUUCUUUUUGCCUCCUG